CCUGCAUGAAGCUGGAAUUGCUAGUAAUCGCGGAUCAGCAAGCCGCGGUGAAUACGUUCCCGGGCCUUGUACACACCGCCCGUCACACCAUGAGAGUCGGGAACACCCGAAGUCCGUAGUCUAACCGCAAGGGGGGCGCGGCCGAAGGUGGGUCCGGUAAUUGGGGUGAAGUCGUAACAAGGUACC
rnacentral:rRNA from 1 species